GACGUAGGGCGCGAGCGUUGUCCGGAUUUAUUGGGCGUAAAGAGCUCGUAGGCGGCUUGUCGCGUCGGAUGUGAAAGCCCGGGGCUUAACUCCGGGUCUGCAUUCGAUACGGGCAGGCUAGAGUUCGGUAGGGGAGAUCGGAAUUCCUGGUGUAGCGGUGGAAUGCGCAGAUAUCAGGAGGAACACCGAUGGCGAAGGCAGAUCUCUGGGCCGUAACUGACGCUGAGGAGUGAAAGCAUGGGGAGCGAACAGG
rnacentral:rRNA from 1 species